CGGUGGAUCACUCGGCUCGUGUGUGCGAUGAAGAGCGCAGCCAACUGUGUGAAUGUCGUGUGAAUCGCAGACUGCUUUGAACAUCGACAUCUUGAACGCACAUUGCGGCUACAGGCUUGCCUGUGGCCACGUCUGACCGAGGGUCGGUU
rnacentral:rRNA from 1 species